rnacentral:rRNA from 1 species
UACAGAGGCCCCAAGCGUUACUGAGAAUCACUGGGUUUAAAGGGUGCGUAGGUGGCGCGUUAAGUCCGUUGUGAAAGCCCUGGGCUCAACCCAGGAACUGCUUCGGAUACUGGCGCGCUUGAGGCUAGUAGGGGUCACUGGAACUGACGGUGGAGCGGUGAAAUGCGUAGAUAUCGUCAGGAACGCCAAUGGUGAAGACAAGCUGCUGGGGGUGUACUGACGCUGAGGCACGAAAGCCAGGGGAGCAAACGGG